GACGUAGGGCGCAAGCGUUGUCCGGAUUUAUUGGGCGUAAAGAGCUCGUAGGCGGUCUGUCGCGUCGAUCGUGAAAACUUGGGGCUUAACCCUGAGCUUGCGGUCGAUACGGGCAUGACUGGAGUUCGGCAGGGGAGACUGGAAUUCCUGGUGUAGCGGUGAAAUGCGCAGAUAUCAGGAGGAACACCGGUGGCGAAGGCGGGUCUCUGGGCCGGAACUGACGCUAAGGAGCGAAAGCGUGGGGAGCGAACAGG
rnacentral:rRNA from 1 species